rnacentral:tmRNA from 1 species
GGGGUUGACUGGAUUUGACAGCAGGUAGAGAUGGUACGUAAGCACGCGGAGGCUCGUUGGCUACCUCCUAAAACCGAGUGAACGAACAAUUAAUUGGCAACUAUAAGUAUGCUCUCGCUGCUUAAUCGAAGUAUAGUAGAUUGCUAGCUUAAUUCUCUUGCCAGGCAGGAGAACGAGACGUCACUCCGAGGAUGUUGUUCCGAAUCCAAAGAUCAAGUGGCGCAGGUUAAAUCGGAAAUAGUCUUUGCAGGCUCCGAUGCAGAGAUGAAGUUUAGGGGCUAAGGCAUCAGUUGGUGGUCCAGGUCUUGCUGCUGCUCGAAAACCAAAGGCUGGAAUAAGCGUGUAGAAAGCGUAUGGUUUCCUUGUUUGGACGAGGGUUCGACUCCCUCCAGCUCCAC